rnacentral:lncRNA from 1 species
AGAGAGAAGACGAAAUGGGUUAACGAAAAUGUUAAUUUUGGGCUUAAAUCCUAACGGAACUUCACCACGAGGGUUUAAAUCCAAAUUUUUUUCACCACGGGGGUUAUCUUCCUAUUAACCUAUCACCACGAGGACCAUUAAUCCAAUUUAGCCUUUUUCUAUUGUUACAAUGUUACUUAUUACAUUCAAUAAAUGAAUGAAUGGUUG